AAGGCUGAGCUGCUGGACAAGUUCUCAAAGAAGCUGCAGCCGGAGCCAAACAGUGUCACUCCCACCACCCACCAGGGCCCCUGGGAGGAGUCAGAGCUUGACUUAGACCAAGUCCCAUCACUGGCCGCACUGAGGGUGAAGUGGCAGGGUGAGGAGGAGGGGCUCCGGCUGGUCUGUGGUGAGAUUCACAGGAAGGUGCAAGGAUAGUCCAGAGUUCCUGUGUCCCCUUCCCCCAGCAUCUCCUACUGGCUACAUCUUACAUAACUAUAAUACCCACAACCAGGAAACUGGGAUUGGUAUGAAGUGUGUAUAUGUGCUUUGUCAUUUUAUCACAUGUAGAUUUGUGUAACUGUCAAGAUAUGGCACUGUUUCACCACUACAAAGA
rnacentral:sRNA from 1 species